rnacentral:rRNA from 1 species
GAUGAACGCUGGCGGCGUGCUUAACACAUGCGAGUCGAACGAAGCAUUUGCGACAGAUUUUUUCGGAAUGAAGUUGCUUAUGACUGAGUGGCGGACGGGUGAGUAACGCGUGGGUAACCUGCCUUGUACUGGGGGAUAGCAGCUGGAAACGGCUGGUAAUACCGCAUAAGCGCACAAUGUUGCAUGACAUGGUGUGAAAAACUCCGGUGGUAUAAGAUGGACCCGCGUCUGAUUAGCUAGUUGGUGAGAUAACAGCCCACCAAGGCGACGAUCAGUAGCCGACCUGAGAGGGUGACCGGCCACAUUGGGACUGAGACACGGCCCAGACUCCUACGGAAGGCAGCAGUGGGGAAUAUUGCACAAUGGAGGAAACUCUGAUGCAGCGACGCCGCGUGAGUGAAGAAGUAAUUCGUUAUGUAAAGCUCUAUCAGCAGGGAAGAUAGUGACGGUACCUGAAGAAGAAGCACCGGCUAAAUACGUG